CCUACGGGGGGCAGCAGUGGGGAAUAUUGCACAAUGGGGGAAACCCUGAUGCAGCAACGCCGCGUGAGUGAAGAAUUAUUUCUGUAUGUAAAGCUCUAUCAGCAGGGAAGAAGAAAGAAGGUACCUGACUAAGAAGCCCCGGCUAACUACGUGACAGCAGCCGCGGUAAUACGUAGGUGGCAAGCGUUAUCCGGAUUUACUGGGUGUACAGGGAGCGUAGACGGCUGUGAAAGUCUGAAGUGAAAGCCCGUGGCUCAACCGUGGAACUGCUUUGGAGACUGUAUAGCUUGAGUACUGGAGAGGCAGGCGGAAUUCGUAGUGUAGCGGUGAAAUGCGUAGAUAUUAGGAGGAACACCAGUGGCGAAGGCGGCCUGCUGGACAGAAACUGACGUUGAGGCUCGAAAGUGUGGGUAGCAAACAGGAUUAGAUACCCGAGUAGUC
rnacentral:rRNA from 1 species